rnacentral:rRNA from 1 species
UACGUAGGUGGCGAGCGUUGUCCGGAUUCAUUGGGCGUAAAGGGUGCGUAGGCGGCGCGGUAAGUCGGGUGUGAAAUCUCGGAGCUUAACUCCGAAACUGCAUUCGAUACUGCCGUGCUUGAGGACUGGAGAGGAGACUGGAAUUUACGGUGUAGCGGUGAAAUGCGUAGAUAUCGUAAGGAAGACCAGUGGCGAAGGCGGGUCUCUGGACAGUUCCUGACGCUGAGGCACGAAGGUCAGGGGAGCAAACGGG